rnacentral:rRNA from 1 species
UACGUAGGUGGCAAGCGUUAUCCGGAUUUAUUGGGCGUAAAGGGAACGCAGGCGGUCUUUUAAGUCUGAUGUGAAAGCCUUCGGCUUAACCGGAGUAGUGCAUUGGAAACUGGGAGACUUGAAUGCAGAAGAGGAGAGUGGAACUCCAUGUGUAGCGGUGAAAUGCGUAGAUAUAUGGAAGAACACCAGUGGCGAAAGCGGCUCUCUGGUCUGUAACUGACGCUGAGGUUCGAAAGCGUGGGUAGCAAACAGG